CUGGACUCCUUUCGUUGUCGGGGGAAUGGAGGCUGGAGACUGCCAGAUGGUAGUGGCAUUGGCCUGAAUGGUCCUGAUAAAUGGGAGGGUGACUCUAGUGGG